rnacentral:lncRNA from 1 species
AUGAGGAAGCACACUUUGUACAGAGUCUGUUCAGCAUUUGCUGAAUCACUCAUUUGCUGGAUAUAUUAUCUGUAUUUUACUGCCGAAUUCUCAGCACCAUCCCAGGAAGUUGGAGCCUUGAGUAGAGUUUGGAAUUUGCCUUCCAGGAAAGAAGAGUUUGCUGCAGGCCUCAAAUGGGGUGAUUGGUUCCUGGCUUUCAUGCAGGCCAGUGCCAUCUUCCCCCAACAUCCCACCCUCCGCUUCUCUCCUGGGAACUUCAGUGACGCCAAUCAGGCACUCUGUUUUAGUGCCACUAACACCCAUGACCAGCAGAGGGCAGAAGAGAGGAGCAGGAGCCUCCCGUGGAGCCAAACGAGGGGCUCCCCUCUCAGUAAGCAGGUGAGCCAGGCCAGGAGGCUGGGCUGCAUACACAGUCCGGGGCGGGGAGAGAGACAGGUCAGGUCUCAGGUGCUGGGAUGCCCCAGUUUAAGAUGUGCUGCAGCAGCAGCUGGAGUCGGGCUGCUGAAAAGAGCUGUGCUCAGAGUGUGUUAGGAAAAGCGUUGCAACAGCGGUCUUUCUUUCUUUCUUCUUUUCUCUUUCUUCUUUCUUUCUCUUUCUUUCUGCUUUCUUUCUUUUUCUUUUCUUUCUUUCUUUCUUUUUACUAUAUUAAAAAAGAAAAACAAGAAAUGACAAAGCAGAGUUACGAAACUGGUGUGUUUUAAAUGUUUACAUCGAAUAAACUUCCUUUUACAGAAAACUCACGAUUCCGGUACAGUGAGCCAUUAGGGACAAGCUGCCCUCGAAAACCCCCUCCGCGCAGCCGGCCCGCACCCUGACUGCUCUGCCGCUGCUCUCCUAAACCCUCAUCCAGGAGCCACAGCAAGGCCACCAGACGUGCCACAGCCAUCCGAGCAGCAUGGGGAAGGGCAUGGGAAACAAAGCUUUGUCAUGUGUACUUGUAAAUUCCUGUUUUACACGUACCUGUAAAUUCCUGUUUUAUUUAAACUGCUGCCAGAAAAGUCACAGGAUGAUGUAAAUCUGUCGCAAGCUGACAAACUAUCUCUGUGCCUGUUACAGGCUGACAGAUUAUCUCGGUCCCGAGUCCUCUCACCCCGUGUAAACCCCUCGUUUUGUAAGCUCGGGGCCGCUCCUCUGACUGUUAUGGAGCAGCUGGCAGGUCAAUAAAACUUGCUCGUCUGACUUUUCUCUCGGGUGACCUCACAUGUUGGUACCAAAACCGGGGAAGGGUAGACUCUGGCCAGGUGUCCUUAAGGGACUCUCUCUCUCUCUCUCUCUCCCUCCUUCCCUCUCCAGUCCCCUCUUUCCCGGCCUACCCUCCCCUUCCCGAACCUGCCAAAGACCCAGAGAAUCUUCCAGACUCUCCCGUUGCUGCGACGUCGUCCACCAUCAAGGCCUCCGCUGGGGUGUGAGUGAGACCGUUUCCAUUUACCAGGAACCCUGACGGUCUCUGCCUUCCCGAAAGGCGCGGCGCUGGGCCGGGGGCUUCCUCCGUUUCAGGGACGCCCUG